AAAGGGGGAAGGGAAACUGAGAUUGGAGGGAGAGAAACUGAGAUAUCCAUGACAACCAGUUUGACAUACCAUGUCAUGAGUGCCCCCUAUUGGUUGGAUCUUGUCAAGGAGAAGGCACACUUCACCAAGACUCACCCCACCUUGGUUUGAGCAUUGUUAUAUUGUGGAUGUGAGGUGCCAACAUUGAGUGUCAAAGCAAUGAAGCAGCUGGGAAAGAGGGAGGCCACCCUAGAUCAGCAGUGUCCAUACCCAGCUCUGCAGCCCCUCUAAUGGGGCAGGAUGCAAAACAACAUGUAUUCAAUGAGAUCUACCUGUUGACUACUCUGGACCGAGAGAGCGAGAGGAAGGAAGGGGACGUUUGACAAGCAGUAUUUGUGGAAAGGGACACAGCAGACAUGGGGGUCUUCCCAAUACCUCUUCUGACUGCCUCAUUCUUGGGAAAAAGGCUUUAAAGGGUAGAACAGGGAUUACACACUCACACACAGACACACACACUCAUGCCAUGGAAGGGGACAGUGGUGUCACAGCACACACAGAGGGUCUGAAUGGUGUGUUCCAUCAUGAAUGUAAAGAGACAGAGGAGCUAACCAAUGGCCACUCCAACCACAAACCUGUGAUGAAUGGACUGAUGCCAGGUCAUAGUGUCAAAGAGCACGCCAACGGUAGUUCAGUGCUCAAAUCUCUGCCAGUGAGUUGCUCUAUACUGGCCCUCAUCAUGUAAAAAAUGUGACAGAAACCAUCCAUCACAGCACCACUGUCCCUGUUCUCUUUCUAUUAGAGUUUCUGUGUUUACAUAUAUUUUAUAUUUUAUUGUGAUUCGUCUAGAUUUCAGCUCUGAAGCAGAAUGGCCUUCUGCAGUCCCUGGCAGCAGGAGGAAAG